rnacentral:rRNA from 1 species
GAAUCUGGAGACAGGUGCUGCAUGGCUGUCGUCAGCUCGUGUCGUGAGAUGUUGGGUUAAGUCCCGCAACGAGCGCAACCCUUGCCUUUAGUUGCCAGCAGUUCGGCUGGGCACUCUAAAGGGACUGCCGGUGUUAAACCGGAGGAAGGUGGGGAUGACGUCAAGUCCUCAUGGCCUUUAUGACCAGGGCUACACACGUACUACAAUGGCCGAUACAAAGGGCAGCGACACUGCGAGGUGAAGCCAAUCCCGUAAAAUCGGUCUCAGUCCGGAUUGGAGUCUGCAACUCGACUCCAUGAAGUUGGAAUCGCUAGUAAUCGUGGAUCAGCAUGCCACGGUGAAUACGUUCCCGGGCCUU